rnacentral:rRNA from 1 species
UACGUAGGGGGCUAGCGUUGUCCGGAUUUAUUGGGCGUAAAGAGCGUGUAGGCGGCCAGGUAGGUCUGCUGUGAAAACUCGAGGCUCAACCUCGAGACGUCGGCGGAAACCAUCUGGCUAGAGUCCGGAAGAGGAGAGUGGAAUUCCUGGUGUAGCGGUGAAAUGCGCAGAUAUCAGGAAGAACACCCGUGGUGAAGGCGGCUCUCUGGGACGGUACUGACGCUGAGACGCGAAAGCGUGGGGAGCGAACAGG